rnacentral:rRNA from 1 species
UUAGGAAUUUUGGGCAAUGGGCGCAAGCCUGACCCAGCAACGCCGCGUGGGUGACGAAGGCCUUCGGGUUGUAAAGCCCUUUUCUGAGGGAAGAUAGUGACGGUACCUCAGGAAUAAGCACCGGCUAACUACGUGCCAGCAGCCGCGGUAAUACGUAGGGUGCAAGCGUUGCCCGGAUUUAUUGGGCGUAAAGGGCGCGCAGGCGGCUCGGCACGUCCGUUGUGAAAUCGCCCGGCUCAACUGGGCGGGGUCAGCGGAUACGGCCGAGCUGGAGCAAGCUAGGGGGUAAUGGAAUUCCCGGUGUAGUGGUGGAAUGCGUAGAUAUCGGGAGGAACACCAGUGGCGAAGGCGGUUACCUGGAGCUUUGCUGACGCUGAGGCGCGAAAGCGUGGGGAGCGAUCCG